rnacentral:lncRNA from 1 species
UUCUGUUGGCGUGCAAAGUUCAAUCAGAUAUUCUCUGCUGAUGCAGAGGCACAUGUCACAAAGGGGGACACAAGCUGGCUCCAGGUGUGGCCAAAAAAGUGUGCAGUGAUGUUCUCUAGUCUAUUUUUUUUUCCUUUUUCUCUAUUCUGGCUUCUCAAUAUGAUGUCUAGUCUAAUCAAGCAAAUUCACUUAUAAGCAGGUGAAAGUUCAAGAAAGGGGCCUCAGAAGUCUUCUGGUUUGGCCCAUUCCUUUGUGAUGAAGGUUCUAGACAUAGGGACUGGGGUUUGUGUGAGGUCACCCAGGUGAUUGCACAGCGCCAGCCCUCAAAGCCAGGUCUAGGGCUCCAUCCCACUUCCCAAGAUGCCCUGAAGUCUUGAGGUGUCUGCUAGGAAAGCGUUGCAUUACUGGGCCAGGAAAGAAGCUUCAUAUUACAACAGGCUGACAUGUUUUUAGCUCAAGAGUGGAGACUUCUGUCAAUCAUGUGGGAUCAUGAAUGCCUGAAAGGUUGGAGGUCCAUGCGUUGACCAAGAAGAACUCCAGCUGCUUCAGAUUGCUUGAUUGUCACUGAAAAGUACACUCAAUAUGAAGAAGAUUGCAGUUAACUGGAGAUUAAAAUUAGAUGUCUUAAUAAGGCAAAUCAUUUCAACUGUUCCCUGGAUAGUUUGGCCCCGGCAUUCAGCCAAGAAAAACAUCUGUGAUUCAAGAAUCAUGACACAGCCAGGACCUGCCACCCUGCAGCUCAGAGGCUUUCUUUUCUUGCAGACAAGGGUGAAGAAGUUAGAGGUCAGUAUACUCUCAGUCCUCAGGGGCUCCAGCCUGCAGCUCUGUAUUGUCAGCUCGUCAGAGAUGUGGGACAGGGCACACUCUCUGUGGGAGCCGGCAGGAAAACCAGGCUGUGCUCAACAACAAGAGAAACAAAGAAAGCACGAGGGCUGAGCUGAGAGAACCCUGCCAUGAGUCAGCCUGGGGCUCCGAGGGGGCAUAAGGCCAGGCUGAUACACAGACACCGCCUACCCUCUGAGUCCCUGAAAUGGAUUUUUUUUGGGUCCUAUUAGCCAAUAGGAAGUUGCAUACAAAGAACAAAAAUUCCUAGGAUCACCCAUCAAAUCAAGUUAAACCUGGGCUUUUGGUAUACUGUCUUCCCAGCCACUGAGAGAGAUUUCUGUAAAGAAAGCAUUGUUUUGUUGUUUUGUUUAUUUAUUUAGAGACAUGGUCUCUUGUGGGCAGCUGCUAUGGGUUGAAUUGUAUUCCUCAAAAAACAUAUGUUGAAAUCCUAUCUCUAGUAUCUCAGAUUGUGAGCUUACUUGGAAAUAGAAUCUUUGCAGAUUUAGCUAAGUUAAGAUGGGGUCACUGGUACCCUUGUAAAAAAGGCAAAUUUGAACAUACAUGCAGAGGGCAAUGGUGUGGAGACACAGGGAGAACGCUGUGUGAUUACAGAGGAUCACGUGAAGCAGCUACUGCCCCAGAAAGACUAAGGCUUCCAGAAGCCGGGAGAGAGGCCUGGAGCAUUUCCUUCCCUAGCACCCUCAGAGGGAGCACGGCUGUGCCAACACCUUGGGUUUUGGACUCCUGGCCUCCAGAACUGUGAGAAAACAAAUUUCCAUCGUUUUCGGCCACCCAGUUUGUUGUUAUGGCAGCUCUAGAAAAUGAACACAGCAGCAAUGGACAUAGGUUCACUGUAGUUUGUUGUAAAAUUAUUUUGAGAAGACAAUUUUCAGGGUCUCUGAGGAUUUCAUAAAGGUUUUCUAUUUCCCAAGCAAGUUCUCAGGAAACAGCCAGGGAGCCAGACACACAUGCGUACAAAUCUCAGCUUCGCCAUUUAUUAUCUACUUGACGUUGGGCAAGAUCCUAAGUCUCUCUAGAGCAUUCUUCAUCCUUCAAAGAAGGAUAUGAAACUCUCUUCCUAAGGCCAUCUAAAGAGUGAAUGAGGUCGUGUUUUUUAAAUUGUUUAUUGUGUGGCCUCACACAUGGUGGCCCGUCAAGAUGUUAGAUUUCUUUCCUAACAAACAUGAAAGAAGACCCUGCCCUGUAGCAGGCAAGCUGGGUGUUAGCUGAGAGUCUCCAACCUAAUGUCUAUUCAGCAUAAUAAAUAUUAAUAAGUGCAGUAGACACUGCCAGGGCUCUGGCCAGACCCUUGCAGAUCCCUUUAACUGUUUUGUCUGUACUCCCUUGAGUAUGCACCCCACGACUCACACCAGAGACUCUUCUUGGAAGUCUUUUCUCGGGCUACUGGAGCCACUUUUUCCACACUCAGGUUGCUAGAAGUGCCUGUGAGUUUAUAUCCUCUAUCUGGGGCAGUUCAUGGCCAAAGUCUGAAGGAUGCAGGCGUGUGACAGCCCACUUCCUUUGCUUGGAGUCAGGGAAACUCUGAGGCAUAACUCACACUCCUGAGUUCCCCUGUAGGAUCACGCUGGAGCCACAGGACUUUGCCUGAAAGCAUACAUUUGCUUUGCCCAUCCCUACUUCCACAUCAGCCUUCCUGUGAGCAUGUCCUUAAUGAGUCGCUUACAUUCAACUCUGCAAUUAAGAGUCUGCUUCUGGGGCACCUGACCCAAGGCAAUAAGCUACUGAACAUCUCCUGCUGAGAUGCCACAUGAUAUUGAAGUUCUGAUGGUUAAAGCUAAAAAAACAACCUGACCAGACUGCAUUCCAAUCAUUCACUAUUUUAACAGCCAUAAUAAUUAUACUAGUAACCUCUCGUUCAUGUGUCCAAUACAUGCAUUACGUUCAAUUCUAAUCCUCAUAACCAAUGUAUACAUAGGUAGUUUUACCCUUGUAACAGUUUUUUUCAAUGGCCACAAAUUUUUUGAUUCUCCUCCCAUCAAGAGGUAAAGUGUAGGUCCCCUUCCCUUGAAUCCCUUUACUUUUACAGAAAUCUGCUCAAUUUUGAUAAUGUGUCCCUCAGUUCCCAAGAUGUGGCCAUUCUAGGAUAUUCUUUCCCAAGUAAGGACAUUCAGCCAUGUGGGUUGGUUAACCUUAAAUUGCAUCUCUAAUAGACAGUAUAUAGUUAGCUCUUACUUUUAUAACUAGUUUGAUAAUCUCUGCCUUUUGACUAUUUAGUCCAUUUAUAUUUGAUGUGAUUAUUAAUAUAGUUUGAGUUGCUGCUAUUUUGCUAUUUGCUUUUUUUUGUUUCAUUUGAUUUUUGCUUCUCAGUAUCCCCUUUUUCUUGCGUUCUUAUGGUUUCAUAAAAUAUUUGAUUAAAUUUAAAAUUUAGAAUCUCAGAUUUUCUAGGCAAUUGCUCAGGUCAGUGAGCUUCAAACCCAGGAUUGUGAAAACAGUUUAAUUUCUCUGAUAGCAUGUUUUCUCUACUAUCCAUGAUGAUGUUUAUGAAGUCAAUAUCAGGCUGAAUUAUAUUCAAUUGUCAGGUAAAUAAAAUCUUUAGAAGUUAUUAAUUUGGAGUUUACUGAAACAGGAAUUUAUGAUUCUUCACUGUAUGGAGAUGUUUCCAUAUAAUCUAUGUAAAGGAGAAAUUACACAGCAUAAAAUAAAAAACUGGCUAAACCUUAGAGAAGCCAGCCGGCAGGCAAGAAGAAAUUCAGUAAGAAUGGGAAUUAUCACUCACCUCAUUGGUACAAUAUUUUUGGGGCUUAUAAGUGCUCCCUACAAUCAGAUGGCACAUCUGUGAAACAUCUGAUUUGGGGAAAAACUGACAAAAAUGUUUGCUGAUAUUUCUUUAACCUAUUUGUUUUAUAUAAAGUAAACUAAACUUUGUAGUCAUGUCUCCCUGAUCUGCUUGGAUUUGUCUGCUCUGAAAUUACUAUAUUUCUCUUUGUAAUUAAUAAACAUUUUGGGGAACACACU